CACGUAGGGGACGAGCGUUGUCCGGAUUCAUUGGGCGUAAAGCGCGCGUAGGCGGCUCGGAAAGUCGGUCGUGAAAUGCCGGGGCUCAACCCCGGGACUGCGUCCGAUACUCCCGAGCUGGAGGCAGGUAGGGGAGAUCGGAAUUCCUGGUGUAGCGGUGAAAUGCGCAGAUAUCAGGAGGAACACCAGUGGCGAAGGCGGCUAUCUGGGCUGAAACUGACGCUGAGGCGCGAAGGCUAGGGGAGCAAACAGG
rnacentral:rRNA from 1 species